UUUUUCCAAAAGCAUAAACUUUUAUUCAUUAAGAAGAUAAAAAUCGAGAAACAAUUAUUGAGCGGCUAUAUUAAAUUUUGAUGAUAAGGUUGUAUAAGGUACUUUUGAUGAUCCCUUUUGCUCAGAUACACUCCCAUCAAACUUAUGAGUUCAGCCCCUCCUCCCUCCGCAUCUCCAGGUCGUACUCAGUUCAGCCCCUCCCUUAUUCAUUGUGUUUCUCAUUCACGAACCUCAUCAUCAAAUCAAUUUGCGUUUUCUCUCUCUGCCUCAACUCUUCAACUUCAAUCCGCUCAUCUUCUAACUCAGCACCUUCUUCUACAUCGUCAUCUCUGCCCCGUUUCAGGUUGGUCUCGCCGUUCAAGCUGUCUCGACGCCUGCGAGUUCGGCGUUUUCGACAACCAUGUUUACGACGACGACAUCCCCGAUGGUUACCUCAACGACUUUUGAUUCUGGUACAGAGUGGUCUGUGAUUAAAUCUUCUAUUUCUCUGUUUAUUUCCAGCUUUGAGAUCAAAACAAAACUUGAAUUGAGAUUUUAUUCUUUUGAUAAUUGAGUUCUUUCCUAAUUUCUAAGCUUCAAGGCUGCAAAAUGCAAUCCCGUCGCCGCUAUCAUGGUCCUUCAGAGCUACUUCAAACCCUAAUUUCUCCGUUAUAACGCCAAGGUAACAUCCUAACAUUCCUUUCUGACCUUCUGAUAAUUAUUAAUAAAAUUUGAAAAAAAUAGGAAAUUAUUUAUUUGAAUAUUAGUUUUGAUUUUUGAACAUUGGAACUGCUUCACCGUUAAUUCCCCCCCCCCCCCCCUCCCCCAUCAAUCUCCAACUUAGUGAAAUUAUUCUCUCUCCGGUUAAUUCAUCCCUUAGUAAUUAGUGAUUUUAAAUUCGAAUUUGUGCUUGACCGUAAAUUACUCCGCCCAUCAAGCUUCAAAUUAAUGAUCUUAUUCGUUUAUUCAUUUCCAUGAUCGAAACAAAACUUGAAAACAUAUUAUCAUCAAUCUUCCAAAUUUGAAAAAAAAAAUCUCUAUCCCAUUAAUUUCUCUCUUAGUAAUUGGUAAUAAAUUUCUCUAGAGCGAAAUGAACAAAUACAUACUGAGGUAAAUAAUUUUGAGAUGAUUGGUAGUUCUCUUUUUUUUUAUUUGCAUCAUUCCUUUUCCAGAGCAAACAACAUUUUAUGUCCAAUGAUUUUCUUCAUUCAAUUUCAUGGUGUUAAGAGUCUGGCAUAAAAGGUUGUUAUCCACGAUUUUUUUGGUUAUGUGAAUUGAAGUACUUUCGUUGACUAACAAUUCAAGUAAUUUCCACGAUUUUAUGUGCUAGGCUUUCACCUUACAACUACCUAGCCAUAUCUACUAAGAGAACCUUCUUCAAUGUGAAGAAAGAGAUCAAAACCUCUUUUAUAGUUGUUUUGUUGGAACCUACACGGGGGGAAAGACCUUUGAAAAGGGUCCAAGGCAGUCAUCACAUAUAGGCUUGGGUGUGACUAAGAGUCGCUGAAGAAUAUGACUGCUGAUAUGGGGUUCCGGCCUUUCUUUAUCAUAUUCAUCACAAUCUUCCAUCCUCCUCUGUUUGGCAAUGGCAGUGUUGCUUUUAUUUUAAUUAGUUUACAACAUAUAGUUGACUUGGUAAGUUAUGAUUUGUUGUGGUUUCUUAUUGAUUAGUUUUUAUUACUUGAUUGUGAAUGAAAUGUUUGAUUUGAUUUGUUGUCUGUGGUGAUUUAAAAUUUAUCCUCUUUGCUGAAUUGAGUGUCCUUUCUAAAGCAUAAAUUUAUAAAUCAGUAGAUUAAAUUAGAAUGGUAAUGUUUAUCUCUUCCUCCAUGAAUUGUAAGCCACUUAUGUUAUAAAAAACAGGUUGGAGAGAAGAUAGAUAUCUUUCUUUGGAGAGAAGAUAUAUAUCUUUCUGGUCUAAAGUAAAUCAUCAUAUUAAUUAGUCAUAGAGUACUUAUUCUACUAUAAUUUAUAUUGGUCUCUAAAUUUUAUGUAGAUAUGGCUAAUAUUGAUGUCCCCUUUAGAGCUGUUUGAUUAUUCUAACACAUUAAUUAAUGGUCUUUUUUAGGGAGUCACAAGUUGAAUUAGUCCUGUACUUAUUUGUACUGAACUUUUUUAAUCAAGUUUUAUAUUGAGUAUGUUGUGUGAUUGUUUAAAUUGAUGUAUCAUUUAUGCUUUGUUUUGUUUAGGAGAGGUAUAGAGAGGAGAGAAGAUGAGUAGAGAAAACUAUGAGAAAAAAUAGUACAUCUUGGAGGUUGUUUGAUAUGAGAAAAAGAAAAGAGAAAGAAUGAAUAAAGUGGACACUCUCUCCUAACAAGGUGUUAGAGCUGUUUGAUUAUUCCUAUCAUUUGUUUUGGUUCCUAAGCUAAGAAGAGACUCUCAGGUUUGUGUACUUAUUAUUUGUCCAAUAAUUUAAUUUCAUUUUAAAUAAUCAUUACAUGGUCCUCCUUUGUGUUAGUUUUUCUUAUGUGUAUACUUAUUUGUACAAUAAUUUAAUUUCAUAUUAAAUAAUCCUUAUAUGCACUCCAAGAUAUUUCUUCUUUUUUGUAACUUCUUUUUUCCAUCUAUCAGAUUAAAAUGUGAAUCAUCUUUUUAGAAACCUUAAAAAAAAUGAAGAGGCAGUAUGUUGGAGUACCUUCUACUUUGUCUUAUUGAAUCUAAAUGGAGGUGCAUAAGUUUCUUGAGACACUAUAGAGAGCCUUUUCAAAUACCUAUUUUGGCCCAAUGAUUCCCUUAUCAAAUGUCAUGGUGUUGAUAGACUUGCAUAGUGCAUUCAUUGCAAGAUACAAGCUUAAACAAGGGUGUAAAUGAAAAACCAAGGCUUUCAACAGACUAAUCAAGCUCAUCAUUCUCUUCAUAGAGAAAUUACUUACUUUAUUGUUCUCUGUCAAACUAUGGUUAUCUUUUUUAUGAUUAUUAUCAGAUGGUUAUCUGAAAAGUUCAUUCACUUAUCUAGAACUUUAUUGUGAUUUUGAUGUCUUAAUUUAGUUAAAGUAGAAUAUUGAAUGCACAGUCAUUUGUGGUAAGGGUCUUCGUGUUAAACCAUUCCAAUUUUACAGUUUGUUGAGUGAGUAUAGAAGCAGUGACCCCUUCUGCAAUCCUUGGAUAAAUGUCUCAAAAACAGCAUGUGUGGCAAGGGGAAUCGAAAUAUCUCCCUCUGGAUUCUCCAACAGCACCAUUUCUGCACAAGAAGAUCUUCCAUCAAGUUAGAAAAAUUUCUUCUUCAUCAGCUACUUCUUCUUCAUCAUUUUUCAUUCUUAGGCGUUAAUGUUCUUCUCCAUCAUCAUCAUCCAUCCGGUAAGAGCCCCUUUUCUCCUUUUAUCUCCCUUUUGAUUUAUUUAUUCUGAUUUCAUAAUCAUUUCUUCUUCACAUUUCGUUCUGAAGAUACAUUCUUCUCAACCGAUCUUCUUUUUUCCCAUCCAUUCUUCUCAUUCCUCAUCUUCCACUGCGAUAAGAUUUAGUGUUUAUUCAUAAUAUGCAUAUUGUUAUCACUAAUUCAAUCAGUAAGUUACCCAUUUUACUGUACUUUUGUCAUUGAUGCAUGUUUUGUUCUUAUGCUAUGGAUUAUUAACAUUAUUAUGAUCUUUUCUUAUCUUCUAUUCCAUUUUAAAAAUAAUUUUCUGUUACUUCCAGUUGUAACAUUAAACGGUUAAAUUCAUCUCCUUUCUCAUUUCUCUAAUUGUGUUUCAUGCAAAAUUUUAUGAUAUUGCUUCCCUUACUUUACGGUAAUCUUCAGUUAAUGGUAGUUUCGUGCUUUUUUAUUUUCAUUGUUUUACUAUCAACUAAAUCAACCAAAUGAUUGUCUUUUCGUUUAAUCUAAUACAUUGUAGCUUUUGUUCUCUUUUCAAUUUUUUCUUCUUUCAGAUUUUGCCUCUAUUGUUUCCAUUCUUCCAAUGUACUAUCUUCAAAAUAUGUAAGUUUCUUGCAUUUUAUGUACUUUUUUACUGUUUCAUUGUGUCCUAAAAAUGACUCUUUAGGUAGCACCAUUUUAUUUUACUUUGUACUGUUGAUUGUGGGGAGGAAGCAGGGGUUUUGUCUCCCAACAGAUCCGUCUCGAGAAAGCGAAGCGAGAAGGAAGAAAACGGUGAAGGGCAAGAUCGCUCUCUCCAACUAUGGUAAGAACCUUUCUUCUAAGUUUUUAUACCAUUUGUUUUGUGGAAAACGAAGCGAGAGAGAAGAAAUCGACAAAGAGCAAGAUCGUUCUCUCCAACUGUGGAGUGAGAAAGGGAAAGGUAUAAGUCAGGUGGUACAACUCCUAUUGAAGAGGACGAAGAGGGGGGAGGAGAAGGAAGAGGAAGAAGAUGAAAAAAUGAUUCUGAGAAGCAGGACAACAAUAGUGUCGUAAAUGACUUUUCUUUGUUUCUUCAACUUUCUUGAUAUGUUAUUUCCAAGUGUUGCUUGCUAUACUUAAUUUAAGGGUAUGAUAUGAACAUCAUGUUAUUGCAUCAGAAA